rnacentral:rRNA from 1 species
AGAGUUUGAUCCUGGCUCAGGAUGAACGCUAGCGACAGGCCUAACACAUGCAAGUCGAGGGGCAACAUGGUAUCAGCUUGCUGAUACCGAUGGCGACCGGCGCACGGGUGAGUAACGCGUAUGUAAUCUACCUGUAACAGAGGGAUAACCCGGAGAAAUCCGGCCUAAUACCUCAUAGCACAUAUUAUUCGCAUGAAUUUUAUGUUAAAGAGACUCGGUUACAGAUGAACAUGCGUUCCAUUAGCUGGUUGGCGGGGUAACGGCCCACCAAGUCAACGAUGGAUAGGGGUUCUGAGAGGAAGGUCCCCCACACUGGUACUGAGACACGGACCAGACUCCUACGGGAGGCAGCAGUGAGGAAUAUUGGUCAAUGGGCGAGAGCCUGAACCAGCCAAGUCGCGUGGAGGAAGACUGCCCUACGGGUUGUAAACUCCUUUUACCUGGGAAUAACGGGCGUUACGAGUAAUGCAGUGCAAGUACCAGGAGAAUAAGCAUCGGCUAAUUCCGUGCCAGCAGCCGCGGUAAUACGGAAGAUGCGAGCGUUAUCCGGAUUUAUUGGGUUUAAAGGGUGCGUAGGCGGAAGAAUAAGUCAGCGGUGAAAUGCUUCAGCUCAACUGGAGAAUUGCCGAUGAAACUGUUUUUCUAGAGUAUAAAAGAGGUAUGCGGAAUGCGUGGUGUAGCGGUGAAAUGCAUAGAUAUCACGCAGAACCCCGAUUGCGAAGGCAGCAUACUGGGCUAUAACUGACGCUGAAGCACGAAAGCGUGGGUAUCGAACAGGAUUAGAUACCCUGGUAGUCCACGCCGUAAACGAUGAAUACUAACUGUUUGCGAUAUACAGUAAGCGGUACAGCGAAAGCGUUAAGUAUUCCACCUGGGGAGUACGCCGGCAACGGUGAAACUCAAAGGAAUUGACG